rnacentral:rRNA from 1 species
GUUGUAUGGUUAAGUGACAAAGCGUAUACGGUGGAUGCCUUGGCAGUUAGAGGCGAUGAAGGACGUGUAAGUCUGCGAAAAGCUGUGGUGAGCUGACAAAAAGCAUUUGAGCCACAGAUGUCCGAAUGGGGAAACCCACACAUUUAUGUGUAUCAUUAACUGAAUACAUAGGUUAAUGAGGCGAACGUAGGGAACUGAAACAUCUAAGUACCUAUAGGAAAAGAAAUCAACCGAGAUUCCCUUAGUAGCGGCGAGCGAACGGGGAGUAGCCCUUAAGUUAUAUUGGUGUUAGUGGAAGGCUCUGGAAAGUGCCACGAUACUGGGUGAUAGUCCCGUACAUGACAAUGCCAUUAUAGUGAAAACGAGUAGGUCGGG